AACGAACGCUGGCGGCAUGCCUAACACAUGCAAGUCGAACGAGACCUUCGGGUCUAGUGGCGCACGGGUGCGUAACGCGUGGGAAUCUGCCCUUGGGUUCGGAAUAACAGCGAGAAAUUGCUGCUAAUACCGGAUGAUGACGUAAGUCCAAAGAUUUAUCGCCCAGGGAUGAGCCCGCGUAGGAUUAGCUAGUUGGUGAGGUAAAGGCUCACCAAGGCGACGAUCCUUAGCUGGUCUGAGAGGAUGAUCAGCCACACUGGGACUGAGACACGGCCCAGACUCCUACGGGAGGCAGCAGUGGGGAAUAUUGGACAAUGGGCGAAAGCCUGAUCCAGCAAUGCCGCGUGAGUGAUGAAGGCCUUAGGGUUGUAAAGCUCUUUUACCCGAGAUGAUAAUGACAGUAUCGGGAGAAUAAGCUCCGGCUAACUCCGUGCCAGCAGCCGCGGUAAU
rnacentral:rRNA from 1 species